rnacentral:rRNA from 1 species
ACGGAAGGCCGCAGUAGGGAAUAUUGCACAAUGGGGGAAACCCUGAUGCGGCAACGCCACGUGUGGGAAGAAGCAUUUCGGUGUGUAAACCACUGUCGUGAAGGAAUAAGGCUUAUUUUCGGAUAAGUUGAAUGUACUUUGAAAGGAAGCACCGGCAAACUUCGUGCCAGCAGCCGCGGUAAUACGAGGGGUGCAAGCGUUGUUCGGAAUCACUGGGCGUAAAGGGAGCGCAGGCGGAGAUGCAAGCAGUCUGUACAAUACCGGGGCCCAACCCCGGACCUGCAGACUGGACUGUUUCUCUUGGAUAGCUCAGGGGCUGGCGGAAUUCCUGGUGUAGCGGUGGAAUGCGUAGAGAUCAGGAAGAACACCGAUGGCGAAGGCAGCCAGCUGGGGGCUUGUCGACGCUCAUGCUCGAAAGUGCGGGUAGCAAACAGGAUUAGAUACCCUAGUA